AUUUGUAGGGUACAAAAAUUGAUAUGACAAUGGCUAACACAUAUUUAUAAUAUUGUUCAAUUUCCUUCAGUGUUUUCCUUAACAAAUUUACCAAAAAAACCCAAAAAAACCCACCAAAAAAAAAAAAAACCCCAAACCCCAAGAGGUAAGCAAAAGCUUAAGUAAUUUGACUCCAUUGAAUGCUUUCAGUAAACAAUAGGUUUCCCCAGAAAACAGCUUAUUGCCUUAAUUGAACCUCUUCGAGAAAGAAAACCACAUACUUUGUAAUGUAAAUGUUAAUUGUAGUAGACAAUGGCUCUAGGUAAAUAGCACCCCUGGACAUGCAGUAAAUGAAAGGCACACAGGCACUUAACAAUGAAAGGUUGUUCGCACAAACAGUGCUUUAAAUGUAAAUAAACAAGGGUCUUCUUAGCGGUCACUACCAGUAGUAAAACUUUGGCACGUGUACAGCAGCCAGAGUGGGAAUUUAUGUAAAUAAAGUCUGGCUGAACUUCUAGAUGAAACUAAGUGCAAAAGCUACUAAGGAACCUCUUGAAACCUAGAAUUAUGCGCAGAAUUUUACAGCUCCAGAUGUGUGAUUACUUUGAGGACAAAUCCUGCAUUUUAAAUAAAGAUAUGCCCAGCAAGUCUCCUAUUUCUGCAACUGUUUACUGUUUCUCCAGCCCCUUCCCUUUUCUGCAUGUUAUGUGAUAGGAGGCAACAACUGUAGACAUUAGAUCACAGGGUAUUUUACUCGAGCAUUCCCUUUCCAACACAAAAAUAAUCAACUUCAGUCUACACAAGGCUGGCCCUUAACUUUAUAAAGCACGUUGGGAACUGUUCCCUUAUCUGUGAUCUUAUUUUAAUCUCCUCUUGCAACAUUAACCUGCUAAUAUACUAUCAGACACUGGGGUGCCUUGGGAAACAUGUUUAGGUCAAGUCCAAGGGAAAAAAAGCCACACUUGAAAUUUAUCCUGUUCAAUUUCACUUUUAAAAGGAACCCGAGCUGUAGUAAUUAUAAAGGUGACUGUCAUCUAAACAGGUAUUUAUUUAAAAGGUGGGACGUUUGCAAGGCCAAAACAUCCUCCCUUCGAGUUUGUCACAGGGGGUGACAGGCACAUUGUGCAUAAAUGCAGUGCUUAGGAUUGCUUUACAUUCCUUGCCUCGCCUUUGUCUUGUCUAAAUAUUCCGUGGGACUGCAGCCACAGAAGCAAGCUAAACUUGAUUAUGAGUAGCUUAAACAGUGGUGAUAGAAUUAACAGAAGCAGACAGUGUGCAGCUACAGAGCAGUUGGUGUCCUCACUUGGGAGCCUGCAGAUGGCUGUGGGUGGGAAAUGCCUCCACUUUCUUAAGCGAUGGAGAUGAGUAUGGUGUGGUGCACUUGAUGUUUUUUUCAUACCCCAACCCCCAACAGGGCUGUCUGUCAUAGGCUGCCGGGGCAUGGCAUUGCCACUUGCCCCCGAGCGUGGGAAUGGGAGCGUCCAGCCGUUCACAUCUCCUGCAUUCCGUUUACCGGAAUCAAUUAGGCAAGACAGACCCUCCGAUUCCCCACCCCCUUUCCAUUUUUGUCAGGUCUAUAUACGUCCUAAUUAUUUCAGUUUGGGAUGCCAGAGCUGUUUCCUGGAUAGAUCUGAUCAUCCUUAAACAAAAAGAGAGGAGGCGCACACGUGGGUUUUGGAGUAAAUGUCACUUUCAUUUCCAAUGCUAGAAGCAGAGUAAGACACAGAACAUUUUUUAACACUUUGACAAGGGGGGAGGCGAUCUCGUCUCCAUCAUGUCUUUCUGCUUCAGUAGCUUCCUCAAGGAAACCCUCUUGGAACAGAGAAGCAUCUGUGCUUGCAUUUUGAAUAGAAGAAUAAAAAUCAGCCAUCACUUUUUUCAUCUUUGUGCAGCUCCACCGAGUUCUCAGCAGAUAUAAAUUAUUUAGCUUGCCUACACUCCAGUGUAAACUUUUUUGAAAGCCUGAUUUCAUAUCACAUGAAAUAUAACCCCAAAUGCUUUGUUCAAGAUGCUCCGAGGCAGAUUUUUCCAGUUUAGUCCAUACUGUAUCGUUACUAUCAGCAUUAUCACUAACAUUUUUAUUUUUUUAGGAGAGGGCCACUUAAUUGCACUGAAUCGUUUUGCAAAAUGAUACUCAGCAUUUCUAAAUGUCUUUCUACAAAUCACCUCAGCCCUUCAUAUCCUAACUUGUUUUUAUUUAACAGCAAUAGUUGCACAUGCAUUGUUUACCACCAGCACCAUUCCCUCUUUGCAGCAUUUAACUACUACCCAUUCUGUAGCAUUUGACAACUUCAUAUUUUGGAAUACGUAUGUCAUUUAAUUUCCUCCACUCCCACCUUUAAGCUGUAAAAAUGUUAGAUUCAAUAAGCAUUCCUGACCUUUCUCGGUUUUUACUGUCUCUUGCUGUAGUCUUUCAUUUUCACACGCUGCACGAUGAUCAUGAAGGAGUUUUUACUUUCGGUUAUCUAGCUUUAUGAAGACCAAAACACUCAUACAGCUAGAUAACCAAAGAUAACAACUCGCUUCCCUCAAAGGAUUUUUUUUCCUUCUAGAAUCCAGAUUCUUUCUGACAAACAGACGUGUUGUUUCCUCCAAGAGUACUAUUGGUGCCUUAAAAUAUUCAUCCUUUUAUGCAAUUGUGACCUGAUUUUCUGUGUGCAGCUAAUACACAUCCAAAAGAGAUCUGUUGCCUUCAAAGUUUAUUCCGAACUUUUUCUUUCAGCCAGUAAUUUCCGGCAGCGAUAGCCAACAAUUCAUCUGUUAAUAUCAGAAAAUAAAACCAGCUAUUAAGGUGCAUCAAGCUGUUAAGAGUGAGAAGCAUCCAUCCCUUCACAGGCCUCUAUUUGCAUUGUAAAUUGCUUCAUUCUCACGAAAGACUCUUUAGCCUCUAUAAAGAUGUAAAGCCAUCGGCAAUUUCCAGCGCAGUGUAAGGAGGAAAAAAAAAUCCCAUUUCAGUAGAAAGUGACAAGAUGAUUCGAGGAUCCAGCUCCUGAUCCUUUAAGAUUAUGCACGGUAUAGAGCUUUUUACCAAAUGGUGGCAGCUUGGUUGCAAAUAUCUUGCAUGUAUGUGUGUUUUAGGGGGGAAGAUCCUCGAUUUCUCAGGGCUCCUAGAGCUGGGGAGAAGAAGAUGCGGUCUUGCUGGCUUGCUCCUGCCCCCGGUCUGAAAGAAGGAGAAAAGGGCCAUCAUUGGAGGGCUUUCAGUGCCAAAAUGUGGACCAGCCCGGCAAGGUCAGAGGUCCUGGACCGCGGGAGACCAAGGUCUCCAGAUGGCUGUGACGUAAAGGAGAAACAUCCUGCAUGAAUUUCUUAUGAAUAAACAGUCUCUAUUUAUGUUAAAGUAGAAAGGUUAGGAUCUUUACUUUUUAGGAUCAGAAUUUUGUUCUAAUGCCAGUCUCCCCACCUUGUUGCCAAGAGUAAGGCAUACAGCAACCCUAUUUAUACUGUAAUGGAGUGUAUAGCAGAUUAGGUCACUGCAGGAAUCCCCUUUUCGUACUUGGCUUGUAUCUAAUUUCACAUAGAUGUAAACCAUAGUCCACUACUACAGUCCAGGCCAGAAUAUCUUGUAUAAAAAUCAUUUAAGUACAGCUAUAUGCAUAGCCCAUGUAAAUCCACUUGACUGGCUUGCUUUCUAAUAAAAGCACUCUAUUAUUUUUUUGUGUCCAGAAUUUCUUUUUAUAGGCCAUUUAGGAUACGUUUCUGUUAUGCCUGAUAUAUAAUGUGCAUAGGAAUACCUAACAGACAUCCAUUUAAAGUAUUGCAGAAAUGAUUCAGUUAUUAUUAAUGGAAACACUGUAUGGGCUUUUAAAGAGCAAAGACUUGUGUUUUAUUUUUAUGUCAAAUAUUCUGUUGUUUGAAUUUUAUUAAAAAUUAAAAUUACCGUU